GUCCACGCCCUAAACUAUGGACACUAGGUAUUGGAGGCUUCGAACCCUUCAGUGCCGUCGCAAACGCAUUAAGUGUCCCGCCUGGGUAGUACGAUCGCAAGAUUAAAACUCAAAGGAAUAGACGGGGACCCACACAAGCGGUGGAGCAUCUGGUUUAAUUCGACAAUAAGCGAGGAACCUUACCAAGACUUGACAUCCCGAGAAGAUCGCCGAAAGGUGAUUGUGCCGUAAGGAACUCGGUGACAGGUGCUGCAUGGUUGUCGU
rnacentral:rRNA from 1 species